UAGGGAAUCUUCCACAAUGGACGAAAGUCUGAUGGAGCAACGCCGCGUGAGUGAAGAAGGGUUUCGGCUCGUAAAACUCUGUUGUUAAAGAAGAACAUAUCUGAGAGUAACUGUUCAGGUAUUGACGGUAUUUAACCAGAAAGCCGCGGCUAACUACGUGCCAG
rnacentral:rRNA from 1 species